rfam:Giardia lamblia ATCC 50803 SC_572 genomic scaffold, whole genome shotgun sequence.
CAUCCGGUCGAUCCUGCCGGAGCGCGACGCUCUCCCCAAGGACGAAGCCAUGCAUGCCCGCUCACCCGGGACGCGGCGGACGGCUCAGGACAACGGUUGCACCCCCCGCGGCGGUCCCUGCUAGCCGGACACCGCUGGCAACCCGGCGCCAAGACGUGCGCGCAAGGGCGGGCGCCCGCGGGCGAGCAGCGUGACGCAGCGACGGCCCGCCCGGGCUUCCGGGGCAUCACCCGGUCGGCGCGGUCGCGGCGCGCCGAGGGCCCGACGCCUGGCGGAGAAUCAGGGUUCGACUCCGGAGAGCGGGCCUGCGAGACGGCCCGCACAUCCAAGGACGGCAGCAGGCGCGGAACUUGCCCAAUGCGCGGCGCGCGAGGCAGCGACGGGGAGCGCGCGAGCGAGGCGGGCCCACAGCCCCCGCCGCGGAGCCGAGGGCAAGGUAUGGUGCCAGCAGCCGCGGUAAUUCCAGCUCGGCGAGCGUCGAACGAAU